AAGUCGUAACAAGGUCUCCGUUGGUGAACCAGCGGAGGGAUCAUUAGAGAGUUGACCCAACUCCCAAACCCCUGUGAACAUACCGUACGUUGCCUCGGCGGGGGGGCGCUCCCCCCCCGCCGGCGGCCCACGAAACUCUGUUUUGCCCUGAAUCUCUGAAACGAUAAACUAAAUCAGUUAAAACUUUCAACAACGGAUCUCUUGGUUCUG
rnacentral:misc_RNA from 1 species